rnacentral:lncRNA from 1 species
UCCCUGCUCAUCAUUCAUCACCAAUUAAAUAAGAUGCCACCGAUAAGUCGGAGAAAGCCAACCGCCUUCAUCUUCCAUCUUCUUCUUCACUAAUAAAACCAGUUAGGGUUUAUCACCAUAGCAGCAGGCUUCACUUCCAUUGCUUCGCUUAAAUUUGGAACCAGAUGAUUGCUAUUGCUAUAAAUAAAUAAAUAAUUAUCAAGAAAAUCGCCAGCCAAAGUGGAAUACUUUCUUCCUCAAAUCUUCGAUCCACCAAUCAACAACCAAUCAAGUCCGUCGAUGGCCGUCGCCUCUUAUCGUCCCGACACCACCAAAAUUUGCACUCACUGUUCUUAGAGGGAUUUCUGACGAGUUAGCUAGAGGAAAGAAACCUGAUAAAAUGGAGAAAUUGGUGAUUGAUCUAUUGAAGGCUCAUAUGAGACAUCCACAGGCAUCAGAGGUUAACAACAAAGAUAUCAUAUCUCAUUUUGUUUUGCGUCUCGUGUAUUGUCGAUCAUAAGCUUUUGAACUUUUUGCCAUUUAUUUAUUUAUUUUUUAUUUUUUGCUUUGAUGUCUUAUGUAGAUUU